rnacentral:rRNA from 1 species
GCUCAGAUUGAACGCUGGCGGCAGGCCUAACACAUGCAAGUCGAGCGGAUGAAGGUAGCUUGCUACCGGAUUCAGCGGCGGACGGGUGAGUAAUGCCUAGGAAUCUGCCCGAUAGUGGGGGACAACGUUUCGAAAGGAACGCUAAUACCGCAUACGUCCUACGGGAGAAAGCAGGGGACCUUCGGGCCUUGCGCUAUCGGAUGAGCCUAGGUCGGAUUAGCUAGUUGGUGGGGUAAAGGCUCACCAAGGCGACGAUCCGUAACUGGUCUGAGAGGAUGAUCAGUCACACUGGAACUGAGACACGGUCCAGACUCCUACGGGAGGCAGCAGUGGGGAAUAUUGGACAAUGGGCGAAAGCCUGAUCCAGCCAUGCCGCGUGUGUGAAGAAGGUCUUCGGAUUGUAAAGCACUUUAAGCUGGGAGGAAGGGCAGUAAGUUAAUACCUUGCUGUUUUGACGUUACCAGCAGAAUAAGCACCGGCUAACUUCGUGCCAGCAGCCGCGGUAAUACGAAGGGUGCAAGCGUUAAUCGGAAUUACUGGGCGUAAAGCGCGCGUAGGUGGUUCAGCAAGUUGGAUGUGAAAGCCCCGGGUCUCAACCUGGGAACUGCAUCCAAAACGUACUGAGCUAGAGUAUGGUAGAGGGUGUGGAAUUUCCUGUGUAGCGGUGAAAUGCGUAGAUAUAGGAAGGAACACCAGU